UACGUAGGCAGCGAGCGUUGUUCGGAGUUACUGGGCGGUAAAGGGUGUGUAGGCGGUUCUCUAAGUUUGGUGUGAAAUCUCCCGGCUCAACCGGGAGGGUGCGCCGAAAACUGGAGGGCUAGAGUGCGGGAAGGGAGAGUAGAAUUCCGUGGUGUAGCGGUGAAAUGCGUAGAUAUCAGGAGGAACACCAAUGGCGAAGGCAGCUCGCUGGGACGGUACUGACGCUGAGGCGCGAAAGCGUGGGGAGCAAACAGG
rnacentral:rRNA from 1 species